AUUGAACGCUGGCGGCAGGCCUAACACAUGCAAGUCGAACGAGUGGCGGACGGGUGAGUAAUGUCUGGGCAACUGCCUGAUGGAGGGGGAUAACUACUGGAAACGGUAGCUAAUACCGCAUACCAUCAGAUGUGCCCAGAUGGGAUUAGCUGGUUGGUGGGGUAACGGCUCACCAAGGCGACGAUCCCUAGCUGGUCGGAGAGGAUGACCAGCAAAUCGGGAAUUGGGACCGGGCCCAGACCCUAACGGGGGGAACGAGUGGGGAAUAUUCGACAAUGGGCGAAAGCCGGAGGCAGCAAUGCCGGUGGUAUGAAAAAGGCCUUCGGGUUGAAAAGUACGUUAAGCGGGGAGGCGUUACCCGCAGAAGAAGCCACGGCUAACUCCGUGCCAGCAGCCGCGGUAAUAC
rnacentral:rRNA from 1 species